rnacentral:rRNA from 1 species
UGGCGGCGUGCCUAAUACAUGCAAGUCGAACGGUCUUUCUAUGGAAGCUUGCUUCCACUGAGAAGAUAGUGGCGAACGGGUGAGUAACACGUGGGUAACCUGCCCAUAAGAGGGGGAUAACAUCCGGAAACGGGUGCUAAUACCGCAUAGUUUUCUUGAUCGCAUGAUCGGGAAAGGAAAGACGGCCUUUGUGCUGUCGCUUAUGGAUGGACCCGCGGCGUAUUAGUUAGUUGGUGAGGUAACGGCUCACCAAGACGAUGAUACGUAGCCGACCUGAGAGGGUGAUCGGCCACAUUGGGACUGAGACACGGCCCAAACUCCUACGGGAGGCAGCAGUAGGGAAUCUUCCGCAAUGGACGAAAGUCUGACGGAGCAACGCCGCGUGAGUGAAAGAAGGUUUUCGGAUCGUAAAACUCUGUUGUCAGAGAAGAACAAGUUGGAGAGUAACUGCUCCAGCCUUGACGGUAUCUGACCAGAAAGCCACGGCUAACUACGUGCCAGCCGCCGC